rnacentral:rRNA from 1 species
UACGUAGGGGGCUAGCGUUGUCCGGAAUCAUUGGGCGUAAAGCGCGUGUAGGCGGUCCGGUAAGUCCGCUGUGAAAGUCGAGGGCUCAACCCUCGAAUGCCGGUGGAUACUGUCGGGCUUGAGUACGGGAGAGGAGAGUGGAAUUCCCAGUGUAGAGGUGAAAUUCGUAGAUAUUGGGAAGAACACCGGUGGCGAAGGCGGCUCUCUGGACCGUAACUGACGCUGAGGCGCGAAAGCGUGGGGAGCAAACAGG